rnacentral:rRNA from 1 species
AUUGAACGCUGGCGGCAGGCCUAACACAUGCAAGUCGAGCGGAUGAAGGGAGCUUGCUCCUGGAUUCAGCGGCGGACGGGUGAGUAAUGCCUAGGAAUCUGCCUGGUAGUGGGGGAUAACGUCAGGAAACGGGCGCUAAUACCGCAUACGUCCUGAGGGAGAAAGUGGGGGAUCUUCGGACAUCACGCUAUCAGAUGAGCCUAGGUCGGAUUAGCUAGUUGGUGGGGUAAAGGCCUACCAAGGCGACGAUCCGUAACUGGUCUGAGAGGAUGAUCAGUCACACUGGAACUGAGACACGGUCCAGACUCCUACGGGAGGCAGCAGUGGGGAAUAUUGGACAAUGGGCGAAAGCCUGAUCCAGCCAUGCCGCGUGUGUGAAGAAGGUCUUCGGAUUGUAAAGCACUUUAAGUUGGGAGGAAGGGCAGUAAGUUAAUACCUUGCUGUUUUGACGUUACCAACAGAAUAAGCACCGGCUAACUUCGUG